rfam:Brachypodium distachyon strain Bd21 chromosome 2, whole genome shotgun sequence.
AUACUAUUACUUCGUCCAGAAAUAAGUGACUCAAAUUUGUCUAAUUUCGCAUGUAUCUAUACACUAAAACACAUCUAGAUACAUACGAAUUUAGACAAAUUCAAGUCACUUAUUUCUGGACUGAGGAAGCACAUU